rnacentral:tRNA from 1 species
AAAUCCGUCGAAWUUGGAAAUUGGGGGGUCAAGUCCCUUUAUCCCCA